GUGAGGAAUAUUGCGCAAUGGAGGCAACUCUGACGCAGCCAUGCCGCGUGCAGGAAGAAGGCGCUACGCGUUGUAAACUGCUUUUAACCGGGAAGAAACCCCAGGACGUGUCCUGGGUUGACGGUACCGGAGGAAUAAGCACCGGCUAACUUCGUGCCAGCAGCCGCGGUAAUACGAAGGGUGCAAGCGUUAUCCGGAUUCAUUGGGUUUAAAGGGUGCGUAGGCGGAGCGUUAAGUCAGUGGUGAAAUCCUGCAGCUUAACUGUAGACUUGCCAUUGAUACUGGCGCUCUUGAGUGUGCUGGAAGUGGGCGGAAUGUGCCGUGUAGCGGUGAAAUGCUUAGGUAUGGCAAAGAACACCAAUUGCGAAGGCAGCUCACUAAGGCGAUACUGACGCUGAGGCACGAAAGCGUGGGGAUCGAACAGGAUUAGAAACCCUAGUAGUCC
rnacentral:rRNA from 1 species